AUGAAUUGCCUCAGCUGGAACUGUCGCGGGCUUGGGAACCCCGCGACAGUUCGCGAGCUUCGCAGUGUGGUGAAGCAAGAAGGGCCCGGUCUCUUAUUUCUGAUGGAGACUAAAAUUGGGGCGAAGAGGGUACAAAGUCUGCAAAAUCUUCUGGGAUUUUCGGGCUGUUUUGCAGUUGAUAGCGAUGGUUUAAGUGGUGGCAUUGGUCUAUUCUGGACAAAUGAUGUUCAGGUGGAUCUUCAGAGUUUCAGUUCAGGGCACAUAGACGCGAUGGUGCAGAAUAAUAAUUUGCACCGGAAUAAAUGA
rnacentral:rRNA from 1 species